UACGUAGGGUGCAAGCGUUGUCCGGAAUUAUUGGGCGUAAAGAGCUCGUAGGCGGUUUGUCGCGUCUGCUGUGAAAACCCGAGGCUCAACCCCGGGCCGCAGUGGGUACGGGCAGACUAGAGUGCGGUAGGGGAGACUGGAAUUCCUGGUGUAGCGGUGAAAUGCGCAGAUAUCAGGAGGAACACCGGUGGCGAAGGCGGGUCUCUGGGCCGUAACUGACGCUGAGGAGCGAAAGCAUGGGGAGCGAACAGG
rnacentral:rRNA from 1 species